ACGCAGGGCAAAAUCGCUUGGGCCAAAGGCCCAAGUCUUACCAACAUAAUUAGGUUUUACAACAAAAGCUUCAGAUCGUACCUUCAAAAUUUCCCCAGAAUGAGCGAUUGUAACUGUGAGACCUCACAGACCAACUGAAGCCGCCAUGGAGGUUGCGCCGGUGAGGAGCGAUUGAAGGUCGAUUGUGGCCGGCAGAGAAACUGUGGUUUUGUGAGGGCGCUCGUUGGAGGUAGAAAAUGAGGGUGUGGAGUGUGUGGGUUCGCGAUCGAAGGAGGAGAAGAGGUGCACGUUUGGAGGUUUGGAAGGAUUCGUUGGAAGGAGAAGAAGAUGAAGCUGAGUUUGAUGCGUCCCGUCUCCAAAUAAGCCUCCUUCUUCUGUUUCGUUUUUUAGGGUUUUGAAAAAAAGCUUUACUGCGUUUAUGGCUAUGUUUGCUGUUGUAUUUUUAGUUUCUUUUGAAAAAUCUCUUAUUGUGAUGUCUCUCUCGCGGUGUAUUCUAUUGUUGUUUUGGUUUCUGUUUUUUGAGAAGGUCUCUUACUGUGAUGUCUCUCUCGCUGUGUAUUCUAUUGUUGUUUUGGUUUCUGUUUUUUGAGAAGGUCUCUUACUGUGAUGUCUCUCUCGCUGUGUAUUCUAUUAUUGUUUUGGUUUCUGUUUUUUGAGAAGGUCUCUUACUGUGUUGAUGUUCUUAACGCCUCAUGAACCUUUUAUGAAGAAUUUUUAUCAGUUUUUUAAAAACUCCUUUCUUUUUCGAUUUUCCCAUCCCAGAUUAUGUGGGAUUUAAUUUCUGUGGAUUUGUUCUGUUUUAAGUUAUUAUUGCAAUGCCUUUUUGGAUGUUCAAGUUAACCUGUUGGGUUAUAGCUCUGAGAUGACCUGAUGGAAUGGAAAAGUGGCUGCUCCAAGCUUCAAGAUAACAUGUUUUUGCGCCUAGGUCCAAAGGAGUGUUAAACCAGUCCAUUGAUUUUGGUCUUGGUUAUUUAGAAUUAGGAACCUGUUUUUGCAGCAAAUUCCACUUAGUAAAAAAAAUGUAAUUAUGUAGUUUAAUAAAAAAAAUUUAAAGACAAAAUGUAUUUGGAUUAUUUGGAACUUUCUGAAUUAAAUUUUAAUUAUGUAA